UGGCAAUGCAGAAAACAUCACGGCAAGUUGC
rnacentral:piRNA from 1 species